rnacentral:rRNA from 1 species
ACGCUGGCGGCGUGCUUAACACAUGCAAGUCGAACGAUGAAGCCUAGCUUGCUAGGUGGAUUAGUGGCGAACGGGUGAGUAAUACGUGAGUAACCUACCUUUAACUCUGGGAUAAGCCUGGGAAACUGGGUCUAAUACCGGAUACGACCAAUCUCCGCAUGGGGUGUUGGUGGAAAGCGUUAUGUAGUGGUUAUAGAUGGGCUCACGGCCUAUCAGCUUGUUGGUGAGGUAACGGCUCACCAAGGCGACGACGGGUAGCCGGCCUGAGAGGGUGACCGGCCACACUGGGACUGAGACACGGCCCAGACUCCUACGGGGGGCAGCAGUGGGGAAUAUUGCACAAUGGGCGCAAGCCUGAUGCAGCGACGCCGCGUGAGGGAUGACGGCCUUCGGGUUGUAAACCUCUGUUAGCAGGGAAGAAGAGAGAUUGACGGUACCUGCAGAGAAAGCGCCGGCUAACUACGUGCCAGCAGCCGCGGUAAUACGUAGGGCGCGAGCGUUGUCCGGAAUUAUUGGGCGUAAAGAGCUUGUAGGCGGUUUGUCGCGUCUGCUGUGAAAGGCCGGAGCUUAACUCCGUGUAUUGCAGUGGGUACGGGCAGACUAGAGUGCAGUAGGGGAGACUGGAAUUCCUGGUGUAGCGGUGGAAUGCGCAGAUAUCAGGAGGAACACCGAUGGCGAAGGCAGGUCUCUGGGCUGUAACUGACGCUGAGAAGCGAAAGCAUGGGGAGCGAACAGGAUUAGAUACCCUGGUAGUCCAUGCCGUAAACGUUGGGCACUAGGUGUGGGGGACAUUCCACGUUUUCCGCGCCGUAGCUAACGCAUUAAGUGCCCCGCCUGGGGAGUACGGCCGCAAGGCUAAAACUCAAAGAAAUUGACGGGGGCCCGCACAAGCGGCGGAGCAUGCGGAUUA